AAUGGGGGGAACCCUGAUCCAGCCAUGCCGCGUGUGUGAAGAAGGCCUUUUGGUUGUAAAGCACUUUAAGCGAGGAGGAGGAGCUCUUGGUUAAUACCCAAGAUGCUUGGACGUUACUCGCAGAAUAAGCACCGGCUAACUCUGUGCCAGCAGCCGCGGUAAUACAGAGGGUGCAAGCGUUAAUCGGAUUUACUGGGCGUAAAGCGCGCGUAGGUGGCCAAUUAAGUCAAAUGUGAAAUCCCCGAGCUUAACUUGGGAAUUGCAUUCGAUACUGGUUGGCUAGAGUAUGGGAGAGGAUGGUAGAAUUCCAGGUGUAGCGGUGAAAUGCGUAGAGAUCUGGAGGAAUACCGAUGGCGAAGGCAGCCAUCUGGCCUAAUACUGACACUGAGGUGCGAAAGCAUGGGGAGCAAACAGGAUUAGAUACCCUGGUAGUCCAUGCCGUAAACGAUGUCUACUAGCCGUUGGGGCCUUUGAGGCUUUAGUGGCGCAGCUAACGCGAUAAGUAGACCGCCUGGGGAGUACNGUCGCAAGACU
rnacentral:rRNA from 1 species